GAUGAACGCUGGCGGCGUGCCUAAUACAUGCAAGUCGAGCGAACAGACGCGGAGCUUGCUCCUCUGACGUUAGCGGCGGACGGGUGAGUAACACGUGGAUAACCUACCUAUCAGACUGGGAUAACUUCGGGAAACCGGAGCUAAUACCGGAUAAUAUCUUGAACCGCAUGGUUCAAUAGUGAAAUACGGUUUUGCUGUCACUUCUAGAUGGAUCCGCGCCGCAUUAGCUAGUUGGUAGGGUAACGGCUUACCAAGGCAACGAUGCGUAGCCGACCUGUGAGGGGGGUCGGCCGCCCGGGAGCGGGGCCGCGGUCCAGGGGACUACGGGAGGCAGCAGAAGGGUACCGGCCGCAGCGGUCGAGAGCCUGGCGGAGUAGCGGCGAGUGAGAUGUGGAGGCGCCCGGUGCGGGAUGCUCGGUUAUGGGUUGAGAACAAAUGUGUAAGUAACUAUGCACGGCGUGACGGUACCUGAUCAGGAAGCCACGGCUAACUACGUG
rnacentral:rRNA from 1 species